CUAUGGGGUGCAGCAGGCGCGAAAACUUCACAAUGUGGGAAACCGCGAUGAGGGGAUUCCAAGUGCUAACACUUUGUGUUAGCUGUUCACCUGCCUAAAAAGCUGGUGAAGUAAGGGCCGGGUAAGACGGGUGCCAGCCGCCGCGGUAAUACCUGCGGCCCGAGUGGUGGUCGUUAUUAUUGAGCCUAAAGCGUCCGUAGCCGGUUCAGUAAAUCUCUGGGUAAAUCGGGCAGCUUAACUGUCCGAAUUCCGGAAAGACUGCUGAACUUGGGACCGGGGGAGGUUGGAGGUACUCCUGGGGUAGGGGUGAAAUCCUGUAAUCCUAGGGGGACCACCAGUGGCGAAGGCGUCCAACCAAAACGGCUCCGACGGUAAGGGACGAAGCCCUGGGGCGCAAACGGGAUUAGAUACCCCGGUAGUCCAGGGUGUAAACGCUGCAGGCUUGGUGUUGGGGGUCCUACGAGGGCGCCCAGUGCCGGAGAGAAGUUGUUAAGCCUGCCGCUUGGGGAGUACGUCCGCAAGGAUGAAACUUAAAGGAAUUGGCGGGGGAGCACAGCAACGGGUGGAGCGUGCGGUUCAAUUGGAUUCAACGCCGUAAAACUCACCGGGAGCGACGGUUACAUGAAGGCCAGGCUGAUGACCUUGCCUGAUUUUCCGAGAGGUGGUGCAUGGCC
rnacentral:rRNA from 1 species